rnacentral:rRNA from 1 species
CCUACGGGAGGCAGCAGUGGGGAAUAUUGGGCAAUGGGCGCAAGCCUGACCCAGCAACGCCGCGUGAAGGAAGAAGGCUUUCGGGUUGUAAACUUCUUUUCUCAGGGACGAAGCAAGUGACGGUACCCGAGGAAUAAGCCACGGCUAACUACGUGCCAGCAGCCGCGGUAAUACGUAGGGGGCAAGCGUUAACCGGAUUUACUGGGUGUAAAGGGCGUGUAGGCGGGACUGCAAGUCAGAUGUGAAAACCACGGGCUGAACCUGUGGCCUGCAUUUGAAACUGUAGUUCUUGAGUACUGGAGAGGCAGACGGAAUUCCUAGUGUAGCGGUGAAAUGCGUAGAUAUUAGGAGGAACACCAGUGGCGAAGGCGGUCUGCUAGACAGCAACUGACGCUGAGGCGCGAAAGCGUGGGGAGCAAACAGGAUUAGAUACCCCAGUAGUC